rnacentral:misc_RNA from 1 species
GAGAGAGAGAGAGAGAGAGGUCAAGGCUUCGAUAGGAGACUAGAUUAAGUGGAAUAAUUAAAGGGUAAGUUUUAUUAUUGUGAUUUCAGUUAAAUAAUGGGAAUUAUUCUUUUUUUAACUUUCCUGAUGGUGGUUAGCCAGCUGUUGCCGCCCUGUCGUUCUAUAUCUUUGGAGAAAAGCGGAAGCUGGACCAUGAAGACAUGCUAGAG